GACGAACGCUGGCGGCGUGCUUAACACAUGCAAGUCGAACGGAAAGGCCCUGCUUUUGUGGGGUGCUCGAGUGGCGAACGGGUGAGUAACACGUGAGUAACCUGCCCUUGACUUUGGGAUAACUUCAGGAAACUGGGGCUAAUACCGGAUAGGAGCUCCUGCUGCAUGGUGGGGGUUGGAAAGUUUCGGCGGUUGGGGAUGGACUCGCGGCUUAUCAGCUUGUUGGUGGGGUAGUGGCUUACCAAGGCUUUGACGGGUAGCCGGCCUGAGAGGGUGACCGGCCACAUUGGGACUGAGAUACGGCCCAGACUCCCACGGGAGGCAGCAGUGGGGAAUAUUGCACAAUGGGCGGAAGCCUGAUGCAGCAACGCCGCGUGCGGGAUGACGGCCUUCGGGUUGUAAACCGCUUUCGCCUGUGACGAAGCGUGAGUGACGGUAAUGGGUAAAGAAGCACCAGCUAACUACGUG
rnacentral:rRNA from 1 species